GACGAACCAUGCAAACGUUAUUCGGAAUUACUGGGCGUAAAGCGCACGUAGGCGGCUUUGUAAGUUAGAGGUGAAAGCCUGGAGCUCAACUCCAGAAUUGCCUUUAAGACUGCAUCGCUUGAAUCCAGGAGAGGUGAGUGGAAUUCCGAGUGUAGAGGUGAAAUUCGUAGAUAUUCGGAAGAACACCAGUGGCGAAGGCGGCUCACUGGACUGGUAUUGACGCUGAGGUGCGAAAGCGUGGGGAGCAAACAGG
rnacentral:rRNA from 1 species